UCCCUGGAGGACUAGUGGUUAGGCCUUGGUGCUUUCACUGCCACAGCCCGGGUUCGAUUCCUGGCCAGGGAA